AAGCGAUAAAAAUACCAUGUGUCUAUUUAACUCCCCCUCUGAGACAGAGUGAUUCCGAUCCUGCAGUCACGCCUCAAACUGUAAACUAAGAUUAGAAAACACUGCUGGUGUGUUGCUAAUUUCCAGACAUCAACAACAGAACAGGUUCCUGUGUUCCAAUCAGUUACCCUCUGUGAAAAGCUCAUGGAAGGCGAUGGGAUUUGAAGACAUUGAGGCUGCACAGAUGAAAUCAGAGUUUAAUUUGGCCUGCAGAAACUUCAGUUUUGGUGAUGGUGCAUAAGAUCCCAUUUUGAGAUCUUUCUAAUUGUGUAUUUAGCACAUUUGAAAAGUAAAUCAGAGAGACAUAAUAAA